UCUAAGAUCACUCAUGAGGAAUCUUUAGCAGUAAUGACACCAUAAGAUCAACUAACCUGCUUCCAGCUGCACGGCACUCGACACCCCUGUGAGCAGCUGAGGGCAGAAAGCACCGCGCUGCCAGAUCUCUGUGAUAAAGGGGCUGAGAGAGCAGCAGUGUGCACAUCAGAGGGGUGUGGGCCCGGAUCGUGACUCAGAAAACCCAGGAGCUCGUCCUUCUGACCUCGGGCAAGUCCGGGAACCUCUCUGCUUUGGCUUCCACAACUGUAAAAGUGGGACUAAUAAAACCUGUUUGCUGCCUCGUAGGAGAGAGAGGAUGGUUAAUGAACACCUGCAAGGUGCUCUGAAGAUGAAAAAGGUUCCUGGGCGCUAAUGACAGACAACCACAGCCUCCACCGGCCUCUGGGUAUCACACAGGAGGAUGAACUGCCCUGAUAAAAUAAUGUUCCUGAAAAAAGUGGCCAGUUCAGCUUGCAACUCACACAACUGUGCAGUGUCCCUGGAGACCAUCUCAGCUCCGCAGCGUGCCUGCGGUCGCCAGGCUGGACCCCUGAGAGCGAGAGGUCUGAAUGGGUCAUCAGUACACGCUGAACAGAGUGGCUGAUGAUGAUCCGAGGGCCACCCGAUGAAGCAUUUCUGUACACGAUCUACAAGCAGAACACGGCACAUACUCCAGGAUCAUCAGGGAUACCGACUUCCCCCAGGUGGUGAAAAUUGCAGGAAGAGAGGCUUGGUAAACGGGGGAGGGAGAGAGCAGAUAGAGGAAGAGAUACAGGCAACUGGCAGAAAAAUAACACAAGCUGUGGUUAAGGCGCUGGGCUCUCAAUUACCACCAUGACCUAGAAAAGAGAUGAUAACCGCGGCGACCACGAACAUGGCCCAUGGUCUCACAGUGCUCCAGGCACCACGCUAAGUGUCUCAUAUGUAUUCACUCAUUUAACUAACCCUCAUAAAAUCCAGAGAGGCAGAUCCUUUGACACCUCCCCCCCAUCUCUUUCCCAUUUCUGGCAGGGAAGUGAGUGAGCUUGCCUGAGAUGGCUCAGCUAACCCGCGGUGGGGCGGGGACCUCGGCCCUGUGACUUCUGAACCCCUGCCUUUAACCACUGAGCACCCCGCCUGUCAAGUUCAGAGGGAACUUUGCUUUUACCUGAGAGUGUGCUUUAUACUGUUACAUUUUAAAAGACCAAUAAAAAUGCCAAUAAACAUUAAAAAAAAAAAGGUGCACACUCAGCAAAACACUGUUCGGUAAGAUGGUGCGGCUGUCUCUGCAGCCUCCACGAGU